CGUGCCCGCCCUGCCGGGCUGCCGGGGGCCGGGGGGGGUGCCGCGGGCCGGCGGGGGGCGAGCCCUGCGGGGGCAGCGGGCCCGGUGCCCGCCUGUAGUGACGGGGCAGGGCAGGGCGCAGGCCCGGGCGCCGCAGGCAGGCCCCGCCGCGGGGACGGCGGCGGCGGUCGGUCGGGGGGCGCCACCGCGCGCGCCCCUCGAGCCCCGCUUCCCGCUCCCGCAGCUGAGCGGCGGGGGUCGCAGCUGACACCCGAGUGCCAAGGCCCGGGCACAACCCCCCGUGCCGGGGCAGGCUGGGUCCGGUGACUGGUUUGGCAUGCAGUCCGCCGUGUGUUCUGCCUUGCAAAUCCUGGCACGCCCACCAGAAACGGAAGAGAAAAAAUAGAUUUCCCGUUUAAGUGCUCUUUUGGUAGCCGAGUUUAAUAAGAAGCAGUUUGAUUACCCUAGGGAAUAAACCCUAGGGAACGGCACCCUGUGUUGAAACAAGAAUUGCCUCAAAAAUGAGUUCGUUACCCAGUGUGCAGAAUCGAAGACCGAGUCGUUAAGAGCAGGAGACAGGGCCUUCGCUACGAAGCUGUGCAGGCGUGGGCACCAGGUGGGCUGGCACGCCUUGGCGGUGUCCACAGGCAGAUUUGUACAUGACCGCAUGAAUAUUAAUUUAAGUUCCAACCCUCUUAACAUUGACUGGAUGGUAAUCUACAUAAUGGUUGUGCAGUCUUACUGAUUAACUACACGUCUUCAUUGAGGAAGGCUCUCUUUGUGGGCUGGGGUGUUAAGGGUGUGAUUUUGGUGUUAUAAUGGAGGUAGUUUGCCUAAGGACACAUCUUUGGCUUCUUGUCCAACAAGCAUCAGAAAUAUCUUGAUUGCAAGAGUCUUCUGUUGCCAGCCUUCCAGCCUGUAAUUGUCCUUCAAAGUUGCCUUAUCCUAAGCAGCAAUUCCUUCAGUUAAUCAUCUGUGAUAGCUCUUUGCAUGGGACACCCUGAGUCAAAAUAAUGCGUGCAUUCUGUUUCUCAGAAAUAUGUGCAGAUUGUUCAACAAAACGAUAUGUCCAUGUAUUCUGGUUACGAAAUUUGAUAGCAGAAAGGGACUAUAGUAGGCUAAGUUGUGAACGGUUUUGUUAUAACUUGACUGGGAAUCUCCUGAUGAAAUUGAUUGUACCUGGAGUUACAGUUCAAGUUCUUUUUAAAUUGACCAGAGAAAACGAGACUGAGCACUAUGCAUGCGGAUGAUCACUGUUAAGGAUCUAACUGCAGUCUUUCUUAGGUGGUAAAGAACUCCAUAUCUUGGCACUGAAAGAUUGAACGUUUCAGACAUUAAUAUUUCAGUUUUUAAGUCUUUCCAUACCCCAAAUCUGAACUGAGAAGGGACUGGCUUAUCUGCUAUCUGGGCUGAAAAAGAUUGCAAAUUUGUGAUACUUCCCUGAGCAAGUAGGUCAGUUGUUACGGAAUCUCCAUAGAUAAGUCUGGAUAGUGCUUCUUUCAUUAAUGCUUAAUAUGUUACAGAAUUUUAAGUAUUCCAAGCAAUUGUCAGAGAUUAAUUUAAAAUGCCUAUGCAUGUGUUUCAGGUACUGCUUAUUUCAAAAUUAUAAUCAAUGCACUCUUAUUCUUUUUCAAAAUUUAAUCCAUGUUCCAAAAGUACAAGAUUUAAGAUCAACCUUAAAUCCUUUCAGCAAUUGUGGUAGCUUUUAAUUAGCCUAACUUCAGAGAAGUUUAACUGCAGAAUUCAAGAUCUUUUGUUAUAUAUUGUGCAAAAUUAAACUCUGGAAAAAUUAUUCUAUUUAUAAGAACAUUACGUAAGGUUUUCCUGUGUUUUGACUAGUACAUCUCAUCCAAAGACAGUUAGCAGAGAUGCAGAAGUUGUUACUGCUUUGAAUAUUCUUCUCCUUUCUUUUUGCAUCUCUCAGUGGAGGUUACCAGAAAAAUGAGCUCUAGAAUUUGAAAUACAGAAGUUCUGUAAUGUCACAACUGACUGGGAUAUCCUCCUACAGGUAAAGCCUUUAAUAGUACAUAUGAUAUUCCGAACUACUGGUCUGCAGAAGAAUGGCUGCAGAAGCAUGGCCUUAGAAUCUCUGAAGAUCUGCACAAUCCAGGCCUGGUAUUAGAAUAGGCCUGUAAUCAGAAUUGUACUGAAGUUGCUGUGCUGAAGUUAACAAGAAAGGUAGCCUUGAGCUAUUCUUGAGUCCUGAGGCCAAGUAAUUAUGUUGUGCCAACAGGCCGUGGCUGUAACAAGCUACAGCUGCUGGCAAAGCAGGUGCAGGGCCAAGAAAGAUAGGGACCGGUAUGGGAAAAUAGGGAGUAACAAACUACAAGGCUGCAGCACAGCAACACAAUUAGCUACAUGGAUGGAAUGCUUAUUUUAGUCAUGAUAAUUAGGGGUGUGAGAACCAUGCGCGUUUAGAGACUACUAACAAUUGUAUUUCUGCUUUACGAAUAUGCAUGUGUAUCGGUUCUAUACAAGUAGUGUUAGAAACUAAUAAAGUUGAGCAAGAUGCAUAACUCAUAUUGAGCGUCUUCUUGACUCCAGCAAACCCUUCUUCCAACACUGGUCUGCUUCCCAAACACAAAACAGAAGCAAAACACUGUUUAAAUUGAGUACUUCUCAGUCCCUGCAACAGUACAAAAUUCACUUGGAAAGUAAUCCAAAUAAAAAAAUAAACUUGGAUAUCAGAAGAAUAGCAACAAAAUGCACAAAAUGCUGAAAGCCUUGGUUCACAUUAGCUGCCAUUAAAAUGCCAGAAGCAAACAAUGACUCUAUUUUAGCUGAACUGUUCAAAAUUUAAAACUAUGUAUGAGCCACUCCCUCUCCUAUAAUAAAAAACAGAGCUAUUGGGGAAAAAAAAAGUUGAAUAGAAUGGGUAGACAUGCAGAAAAGGGAAUUGAUGAACAAGUGACCAAACAUCAUCUUCAUUCUAAUCAACGUUUAACAGAACUCCAUUAACAUCUUACAGGUUGCUGUAGGCCAAAAGAAAUAUUUAGCUUUGACCAAAGUGGAUUAAAACAUGUAGGAGGUUCGUUCCAAUUUUGCUCACCUGUUUUUAAACUUUACAGUAACUGUAUCAGUGCACUUACAUUCAGUAAAUAAAGUCUUUCAUUGUACCUUUACCUUGCUUGUAUGACCAAUGAUGUCACAUCAGCUAGCAAAGACCAAGGCAUUCCAUAGCUGCAGUGCAGAAAACCUUCAGCUUCUCUCAGCUGGGUAUCUCAACAUCAGUCUCCUGAAAGUCCACACAAGAGAUUUUGACUGAGCUCCAGACCUGGUGCUCUAACCAUGAUUUCAGAAAGAUUUGCAGUUGCAGAGUUAUCCAGAGUUGAUUGGGUGCUUGGGAGAACAGCCCUACAGUCAUUGCAUUAAAUUCUCAAAAAUAUGCGUUAACACCUUUCUGGAAGAGGAGAAUUACUACUUAAAAAAACGUAUUCUUAAUUUGUAAAAAGAUGGAAACUGUACUUGGAAGAUAACUGAUUUAUCAGCACCCAUUGUGUAGUCAAAAUUAUUUUCAUUUCUCUCAAAGUUGCUCCAGAAAUCAGGCAGUCAUGGAACUUUGCAAUUCAUAGGGGUCCCCUGGUGAGCAGUUUUCAGAUACUGUGAAGGCAAAUGAUAAACUAUCCAUCCAUCAAUAAUAUGUGUUCGUGAGGGCAAAUAAGCAAACCUUUCUGAAAACAAGAAGUGGGGGUUUUGGAGGUACAGGACAAAUCUCAGAAUACGGAGCAUUUGCUUGCCCUUACAACAACAUACUUUUUCUGUUUCAUUAAUCAGCUGAGUUUCUCCUGUGUUUAGAAAAUAAGCCUCCCUUAAAACUGCAUUGUUCCCUUUUCUUUUUAGUUUCUGAAAAAUAACAGCAAUACAUUGCACUUGCAGACAUCAUGAAACUUAAAUUCUAUGUUACCUACAUAAAGUCUUUAAACAAAAGCAACUAUUAACAUUUUGUCUAAGACUGUUUCCAGAUCUUUCUGCAAGGUUUGAAAAGCAUUUACUGGGAAAUAUUAAUUGCAAAUGUCAGCAGCAAAAUACUGUCCGUUCAGAAGGAAGUUACAGUAAACCCUGUAUUAGGUGAUCAGGAGAAAAAUAUUUUUCCUUAAAAGAAGUCAACUUCAGAGUACACAGUGGGUGGUUUGUCAGAGGUGGACAUCAGCGUGAUGCUUGCUAUGCUUCCAGGGGUGGGGGAAUGGAAAUCAAAUGAGGUAAGGUAAAAGCAGGGUACACCUAUCUGAUAGAAAAUCAAAUAUUUCUAAGUUUUAAGCAAUUUAUGAAAAGAAAAAAUUAACUUCAGAUUCAGCUACUCCUUGGGCAGUGGUAAAACUUGCCUCUGAAAAUCCCAAGCCCCUGAGACCAGUGAGAAAUUCUGAAGCAAGGAUUGGUAGAGGAUAAUCAGGUUAAACAAAAUGUACACACACAAGUCCAUGGGACUUAUGGGAUGCUCCUGAGUGUUGAGGAAUCUAGCCACUUGAGACCAUCAUUAGUUAUCUUUGAAAGGUUGUAGUGUUUGAAGGAGGUGAAUAUCACCCCUAGAUUCCAGAUGGGCCAGAAGGAGCAUCUGUAAAACUACAGGCCAGUCAGCCUCAUCACAAUCCCCAGGAAAGUGACAGCACAUGUCAUCCUGGAAGCCGUUUUUAAACGUUUUAAGGACAAGAAGCUGAUUAGGAGCUGUGGGCGUGGAUUUGUGAAGAGAAAGUUAUGCCUGAGCACCUGAUGGCCUUCUGCAAUGAAAUGACUGGCUCCACGAACAAGGGAAAGAGCAGCUAAAUAGCGUUUAUCUUGGCUUUAGCAUGGCUUUUGUGAGUGUGUACCGUAACAUCCUCAUAGACCAACUGAUGAAGUACAGAUUAGAUGAGUGGGCAAUCAGGUGCAUUGGAAGCUGGUUGAACUGCCCUGCUGAAAGGGCCGGAAUCAGUGGCACAAAAUCCAGCUGGCAAUGAGUCCAUAGUACCCCAGGGUCAGUAUUGGGUCCAGUUCUGUUACAUUGUCAUUAUAUUUUCAUUAGUGACCUGGACAGUGGAAUGUUGGGCAACUUCAGCAAGUUUGCAGAUGAUAAAGAACUCUGAGGACUGGCUGAUACCUUAGAGUGUAUGUGCUGCGAUGCAGAGAGUGACCUCAAAAGACUGGAGAAAUGGGCUGACAGGCAUCUCAUACUGUUGGGCAAAGGGAAGUGCAAAGUUCUGCACCUGGGCAGGAAUAACACCAUGCACAAGUACGUGCUGGAGGCCAACUGCACUGGAAAGCUGGCUGGCAGAAGAGGACCUGGGGAUCUUGUUUAGCAGGUUUAACAUGGACAAGCAAUGUGCCCUUGCUAGAAGGCGGCCAACCCCCCUGAGCUGCACUAGCAAGAGCAUCACCAACAGGUUGAGGAAGGUGAUCUUUGCCCUCUCUGAUCAGCACUGGUGAGGCCACAUCUGGAAUGCUGUGUCCAGUGCUGGGCUCCCCAGCUCGGGAGGCUUAUUAUCAAUGUGAAUAAGUACCAGAUGGCAGAGUAUAAACAAGACAGCCAGACUCUUCUCAAUGGUGUCCAGUGACAGGACAAGAGACAACAGGCACAAAUUGAAACACAUUAAAUUUCAUUUAGUCCUAAGAAAAAAACACCCUUUGUUUUACUGUGAGGGCGGUUGACUCCUGGAAUUGGUUGCCCAGAGAAGUUGUGGAGUCUCUGUUCUUGGCUAUGUUCAAAACAUGGCUUGAGUAACCUGCUGUAGUUGACCUUGUUUGGGUGGGUUGGAGUUGCACUGGGUGAUCUCCAGAGAGCCCUUCCAGCCUCAGGAACUCAGUAAUUCUGUGAGAAUGAAAGGUGCUUUCCUGAACUGAGUUAAUCAUUCUUAAUUGGUAAAAAGCUUGGAAGAAUACUUUUUGUUACCUUUCUGUAAUAAUGGAGAUAUUCUUUAGUAACUGCAGGAUGUCUUUGAAUGUCCAUUACAUCACUGCUGCCUUGCUCAGAAUAUCUGUAGUUAGUGCAGGUCUACGGUUGGUGGAAUCGUUGUUCUUUGAUUAUUUUUUAUGUAUAUUACAGUACCUUUGAGCUACUUCACUGAUGGUUUCCAUAAUCAUGUAUCUUCUUCAAAGGGAAAGUACCUAACAGACUUUCUUCCUGUCAUUGCCAAACCUGAUGAUGAGAGGGAACCAGCAAUGCUUUGCUCAGUUACAAAUACACUGGACAGGAUUGGGUGGAAUGUGAUUAAAGAGUGAGACUAGCAUUACUAAUUCAAACAGGAGAACAAGCAUGAAAAAUGUCUUUGUUUUUCUAUUCCUUUGUAAUAGAAAGGAACAAUGCUUGACUUCUACCAAGAUGCAAUUAAGAACAAACUGCUUUUCUGCCAGGAAAGCCUAGCUGCCAAUUUCUCAGUAAGUGCUGUAGCAAACAAUGUCUGGAAUUGCUCAGUAGAUCAUAUGAAUUUUGGCCAACUUUGUAUUGGCCAAACAGCACAUAGAAUAUCACAUAUAUUAUUACCAACCUAAUUACAACUAAGAUAGUCUACAAAAAGCUUUGCCUGAGAAACCUUCUAUGGGCACAUGAAAAUCUCAAUGAAUUCACAUCACUGCCAGCAAAAUCAGCUAAUCUCAGAGGUUUAUACCUGUCAUACUAUUUGUCUGUAUCUCAAACUGCUUUUCUCACUUGUCAGAAUAUUUUUCUCAGUUGCCAGUUAUUCCUUAUGUGGUGUUGUAACUGUUACUCACCUGACUUGCUCAACAGUCUUAAAUGAAGAAUGACUGAUUGGUACAUUGUUCAGGGAAGAACCUCCCAUGUGGUGGCAGGAUGGCCAUAUGGUCCAGUGAUACUCUUUUCAGUGGACAUCUCUCAGCUGAGUUUGGUUGUCAAAUGACUAGAUGUUUCAGUGUAGGCUACUUGCAUACCAACUCAUGCAUUAAUGCAUUUGGAAGAUGCUAAGCAACACACUCUUUGUUCUUUUUUUUUAAGUCAGGCUUUCAUAAUUCUGCAAUUAUGUACUGAUCUCAAAAUAAAAAACCUAGCAGUCUUUAGGGAAAAAAAAUGUCCAAAAUUAAAAUAAUCAUCGUAUAAUGCAGUUUGAAUUUAGGGAACUUCUGACAUCUUUAUGAGACUUUGAGAAAAGUGAAUGGUACAAAUGUUUAAAAUACUGCCAUCAUUUAACCAUAAUUAGCACCUUUUGUUCUCAUCAAAGCAUUCAAGUUAUGUUCAGUAUACUACUUUUUAUUCAUUUAAGAUGGUGAAUUUCUAUGUUUAACUUAAUUUUUCAGUAUAUGAGUGAUGAAAAGGCAUGUGUCAAUCUGGUGAAGAGAUCCAAAUAGAAAUAAAGCAUUUUUCUUCUGAAUGUUCUUUCACAUGCAGUACUAGAAUGCCACUAAAACCCAGUAUAUUUGUAUAGCUUUUGCUGCAUAAGGUUGUUUCCAUACAUGAUAACUACAAUAUGCGCACUACUGUACGAUCAAAAUUCCAAUGUUUUGUAUAGAUGGGUGAUGCAGGAAACAGGAAACAAAUGUGUCUUUUCCAACAUGACUAUUCUUUCUCUUGUGAAUUAAUCAAAAGGCAUAAUCUUUAAAUGCCAGUCUUCUACUACUACUCACAGUAGACCGCCUGUUCAGGCUGACUGCUGAUAAUACUCUUAUUUUCUCAGGUUUUGCCCAGAUCUGUGCUCCAGGUCAAGAUAUUUUUCUGGUUCUCAUAAUGGUAGGAAUUUUACUCUUUGUAGGAAUUCAUGCAGGGAGCUUUCCAAGUUCUGCAUGUGGCCAAAAUCUCAGUUCUGAGAACUGUUUCUCAUCAGAGUAGGUGAUUAACAUGAAAUCUGAAAGCAAGAGUGUAUUUUUUGCCUAUGUCUACUGUUAUUUCAGCACAUCUUAUUUUGAAAUAAAACUGCACAUGGAAGGAGGAUUUUUGAAAUAUCUAAUACAAUUCAGAUUCACACCUUAGUUUAACUUGAACUACCUUUCAAAUACAAAUUGGAAAAUGUUAACUUUGUAGCAUUUCAUAGACUUCAUUUAAACUCUGACAAAUCCACAGUUCUUCCCGAAAGCUAGAGAUUGGUUUCACCCCUUUUCCAUCAUCAUUCUAUUCGGAUUUAUCAGGUAGCUGCUCUCUUUUUUGUGUAUGUCUUAGUAGAAUUUGCUUGGGUUUUUUUUAAGACAACUGUUUUUUUAAGAUGAUCUUACAGAAAACAAACUUAAUUCUAUGCAGUAAUCCCUAAUGCACUACAUUGGUAAUCUCAAAAAUUAUGUAAAAUACAUUUACCAAGAUCUGUUUUUCACAAAGCAUGAGACCGAUUUUAUACCCCUACCCAGAAAAUUAUAAAAAUAUUUUUGUAGCAUAAAAUUUCCCUAGUAGUAGUUGUUUUACACAGAUGAAACUUGAUCUAGAAAUCUUAAAAUCCUACCUAUUGAGAUUAAGAGAUGUACUCUACAUAGUCCAUGUAAGCAGCUGAAACCCUUUCAAACUUCCUGCCUCUGGAUGGCAUUUGUCUGUAUAAACUGGCAUGGCUAAACUGAAACAGCUGUGAGAUUUCUGCCUCUGCUUUUUAUCUGUAUUAUAGCAAGCACAUGAAAAAAGUUAGGGUUAUUGUAUUUAGCAUAGCAGUAUUAGUUGUAAGAGUCAUAUUAGCAACUAUAUGAGUGUUUUAUAAUGAAGUUUCCCUUCUCCCCUUAAAAUUGCUUAAAUCAAAGAUGGGAUAGUUUUUCUCUGCUUUCAUAGAUCAUAUAGAAUGCUUUGGAUUGGAAGGGACCAUUAAAGGUCAUCCGGUUCCAACCUCCCUGCCAUGGGCAGGGACACCUUCCACUAGACCAGGUUGUUCAGAGCAGCCUGUUCUUGAACGCUUCCAGGGAUGGGGCAUCCACAACUUCUCUGGACAACCUGUUCCAGUGUCUAACCACCCUCAUAGUGAAGAAUUUCUUCUUUAUAACUAACCUAAAUCUACCAUAUUUUAGUUUAAACCAUUACGCCUUGUCCUAUCACUACAGGCCCUACUAAAAAGCUGGUCCCCAUCUUUCCUAUAAGCCCCCUUUAAGUAUUGAAAGGCCACAGUAAGGUCUUCCUGGAGCCUUCUCUUCUCUGUGCCGAACCACCCCAACUCUCUCAGCCAUUCCUCCUAAGAGAGGUGUUCCAUCCCCUGAUCAUUUCUGUGGCCCUUCUCUGGUCCCACCCCAACAGGUCCACGUCUUUGCUGCACUGUGGACUCCAGAGCUGGACCCAGCACUUCAGGUGGAGUCUCACCAGAGCAGAGUAGAGGGGCAGAAUCACCUCCCUCGACGCGCUGGCCAUGCUUCUUUUGAUGCAGCUCAGGAUUCAGCUGGCUUUCUGGGCUGCAAGAGCUCAUUGUUGGGCCAUGCUGAGCUUGUCACCCACUAGUACCCUCAAGUCCUUCUCCUUAGAGUGACUCUCGAUCCAUUCUCCACCCAGCUUGUAUUGAUACUGGGCAUUGCCCCAACCCACAUGCAGGACCUUGCACUUGGCCUUGUUGGACUUUAUGAGGUUCACCUCUCAACCUGUCAAGGUCCCUCUGGAUUCAUUCAAUUUCAAUUCUUUUUAAACUUACUCUGAAAUAAGACGAGGGACUUAGCUGACAACCAGUAGUGUCUAGAUAGUAUUUUUAUCUUGGAAUCUCCAAGUGCAUAUUAACAAAGGAAGAUUAUCACCACCAUUUACAGACUGGGAAAAAGCACCAAAGCGGUAAGAGAGAGAUCUGAGAACAGAUUCUGCAUCCAGUUGUCAUUUCAGGGCAGCAUUUUUUCAGUCACUUACGAAAACUAGUAUCUGUUUUCCAGACAACAUUGGAUUACGGAAGUAUUUCUUCUUCAAAAGGGAUUUUUAGAAAACUGUAUAAAAUUUUACAUAUCAAUUUUGUAAGUUUAUAUUAAACUAAAAAUCUAUGAUAUACUUUUAAUAUCAGUAUAUAUGAAUAAGUAUGUGGAGGAGAAGGAAAACAAAAUGGUAAAAUUCAGCUUAUUUAUUUAUUUAUUUAAUUGUCUGCUAAGAGACCUGCUACUUGCUAUUUUUCUGGCAGGACAUACUACUGGAACUGUUCAGGUAGGUCCCUGGUAUUUCUAGAGAAAAAAACCCAUAUUUUUUCUAUGCUUUGAGGUCCAUCCUGCUGUGAGUCAGCAUGUAGCUCUACGUAAAGGGAAGAUGUUUUUAAAUCUCUAAAAUACCUGUCUGAACAAGAUAGUUCAUAGGCAUUGGAUAGAAAAUUCAUUAAUUCACUGGGAAGAAUUUCCACUGCCUUCCUGCCAAAGUUUGUAGAAGCAGGGCAAGCAGAUUGAAUACAUUCAGGACACAAAAGUUUCAUUCCUCUAAAGCCAAAUAAUUUCACAUGUAACGGAGAAACUGCAGAAAUGGACCUUUCUGUUUUAGUGCCUGACUCUGAGGCACAAACACAACUCCAUUCUACCCAUUAGAUGUGAAAUUUUCUUUUCUCAUACAGUAGUUGAAUUGCCAUCAUCGUACGUAUUGAUCUGAUAAACUGGAGUUCAUAGAGUAUCAUCUUCAGCUGGAUAGUAUCACCUGGAACGGAUGCUGGGGGGAUUUUACCGGUGUGCUUAAUUGUAAAUGUUGCAGUAUAUGUAUCCACGACAUUGCUGAGCUGUACAACGCUGCAUUGUGUACUUUAGCUACUAGUAGACAAGAACCGGUCCAAAACCAAGACGUAAGCCAAGAGUGCUGAAACAGAGCCAGAAGAGAAGGUCAUGAGAAGGUUGAGAAGAAGAGGAAGAUGAUGAUGAAGAGGAUGAAGAUGGCCCAAAUGACCACCAGAGGACCCCCAACCCAUUAGACCACAUAUGCAUAUAACCGUCAUGCGUGAUGGAGCCCGGCUUCCCUGGGGAUGGCCGAGAACCUGCCUGUCCAUGGGAAGUGUACUGUCUUUACAGGAGGAUGGAAAAGAGAAAAAAGAGAAAGGGGAAAUCCUAACAGAAGUGGAGGAUGCAGUGAUUCCCCUGGUCUGGGCUGGAGAGAGACCAGGCCAAGCCAGGCUAUCCGGGUAUUGAGUGUCAAGAAACAAAGCCCAGGCUGAAAAGUGGAUCAUGAAGUACCUGGGGUUUCGUAUUUCCCAAGGACAGCAAGCUCUCAAUGUCAGGUGAAAAGAAGCAGUUUGCCAACUCCCAGAACCACAGACUGCUCAUGAACUGAGACUGUUUCUGGGAAUGUCGGAAUGGUGCUGAUUAUGGAUGACUGACUAUGGGCUAUUAGUAAAACCUUUAUAUGGACUCUUGAGCAGCUCAGUGGGAUCACAUUUGGAGUGGAAUGCAGAAGAAAGGGCAGCCUUCGAAGCAGCUAAACAGUCCCUCAUGAAGACUCUGGCUCUUGGGCUUCCAGACCUAGAGAAACCUUUUGACUUGUUUGUUUAUGAGAGAAGAGCCUUUGCAAUGGGGGUAUGGAUGCAGAGAUUGGGCUUCUUCAAGAGGCCUGUGGGAUAUUUUUCUAAACAACAGGACAACAUGAGCAAAGCCUGGCCUGGAUGUUUGAGAGCCAUGACUGCCACUGUUCUGAUUAUCCAGAGAGAUCAAAAAUUUACUUUGGGACAAAGAAUCACAGUUUAUGUUCAACAUGAUAGACAGGGGAAAUCAGAAAGCAGACAGACCUAGCAGCACUGUCUGCAGAAGAAGAAAGUAAUCCAUCCUUGAUAGUCUUGGUUCCCUUAAAAUCUCCACAAUGACCCUAAGGGCCACAGUAAAAGAAAAUAGGUGGGCCAUUACUGAAGAUAAUAGAAUUGUUCUUCCACAACCAAUAAUGACUGAAUUGACCUGGAGAAAACACUUACAGACACACUGGGGAACUGAAAAUUUAGUUAAAUAUUUACCAGGAUCAGUUUUGAGUAAAAAUGUGUGGAACGUCUUGAUGUCAAUCACCAAACUAUGUGAAAUAUGCCAAAGAAACAAACCAAAGACAGAAAACUGAAUUCAAUUUGGAGUUACCAGGCAAGGACGUUCUCCCGGGGACUGCUGGUAAAUCAAUUUUACUGUGCUACCCUGAAAGGAAAAUUACAGGCAUCCACUGGUUUUAGUGGAUACCUUUUCUGGGUGGCCAGAAGCCUUUCCCAGUUGCACCAGUAAAGCUAGGCUAGUAGUUAAAGUAUUAUUAAAAGAAAUUGCUCCUUGAUUUGGAGACCCGCAAAGCUUAUCAUCAGACAGGGGACCACACCAUGUUGCAAAAAUUGUAGAGCAAGUAACCAAAUUUUUAGGAAUUACUUGGGAACUUCAUGUCCUAUACCACCCACAAUCGAGUGGAAUGGUAGAAAGAAUGAAUUAUACACUACAACUACAACUUGGAAAAAUCUGUCAAGAAAUAGAUUUAAAUUGGGUUCAGGCCUUACUGAAUGGUCUAUUAAGAUUUAGAGUACAGCCCAGAGGAAAAAUUAAAACAAGCCCCUUUGAAAUGAUGUAUGGGUUCAGGCCUUACUGAAUGCUCUGUUAAGAUUUAGAGUACCCAACUGCCAACUUCAGGGAGGUGGCAAGACCUACCUUUAAUAGGGGUGCCCAUACCAGUCAAUGAACCUCAAAUUAACAAUCCAAAAUAUGGCAAAGGACACCCUAAGAAACCAUGGUGGCUGAAUAACUUUCAAAAGAAAGACAAUAGGGAAAUACAGGUUACAAUGUUGCUAGAUGGCCCUUUGUCUAUUCGGACCAGGCAAUGAUUCUGUAAGUGCUAGUGAAUUAAAAUUUGGGGAUGACAAGUGUGGUAAUCAUACAAAUAACAGAAACUACAAAACCUUUAUAGAUAGCUUCCCUGGGUGUAAUAGAACCAGGUAAUUUUGGAGACCUACAUUAAGCCACGUGGACAGAACAAAUUAUUUUGGUCUCCCAGUCCCAGCAGGAAGUGGUUGCUACUGGCUAUGUGGAGAUACAGCUCAUAAAACAUUAUCCCUCAACUGACAAGGAGCAUGUACCCUGGGAGCCUUAGUUCCUAAUCUCACAAUAGUAGAUCCACUAUAUACCCAAGAUAAUUGGGACAGAACCUUUUUCAAAUGAAUGACAAGAAGCCAAAAUGCUAUUGCAGACAAACCCACAGCCUUCCAUAGCUUUGCUAGAUGGUUUCUUCCAUGGUUAGCGGUUGAGAACCUAGGUGAACUACAGAAGAAAAUAGUGAAUAAACCAGCGGUAAUAGAAAAUAUUGAAGACAGGACCAUGGAUGCAAUACAGGCAUUACAAGUCAAAGUAUCCAGUUUAUCAAAGGUGGCUCUACAGAACUGAAUGACUCUUGAUUUAUUGUUAGCCUCACAGGGAGGUGUUUGUACAGUUAUUAAUACAAGUCGUUAUAUGUAUGUGGAUCAGAAUGGCAGAAUUUAUACUAAUUUACAGAACGUUUGGGAACAAAAUAAAAUUUUAUGUGAAACAAGUAAAGAUGACACUGAUUGGGGAUUCAAAGAUAUUUGGAACAAACUCAUCUCAUGGCUACCUAAUUUGUCCUGGUUAAAGAAUUUGUUCAUCCUAAUUAUUCUAAUACUGGGAAUUUGCUGUUUCUCUUGUGUUGUGACUCAACGCUGUAAUUAUAUUACAGAAUUGUGUUGGAGGUACAGAUAUAAUUGAGUAGUUUAAAAUAGAGUAAUUGUCAAAGAGAUGAUAAUUUGUUUUAUACAAAUCAUCAAAAGAAAAGGAGGGAUUGAUACCAGAGGAAUUUUACCGGUGUGCUUAACUGUAAAUGUUGCAGCUAACCUAUCUACAACAUUGCCGAGCUGUACAACGCUGCAUUGUGUACUUUAGCUACUAGUAGACAAGAACCAGUCUGAAACCAAGACAUAAGCCAAGAGUGCUGAAACAGAGCCAGAAGAAGAGAAGGUCAUGAGAAGGUUGAGAAGAAGAGGAAGAUAAUGAAGAAGAGGAUGAAGAUGGCCCAAAUGACCACCAGAGAACCCCCAAUCCAUUAGACUACACAUGCAUAGUAAAUGUGUAGAUAUGGUAAGUAGUUCUUGGAAUUGUAAUGAGUACGCUAAUAUUUUCUCAGAAAUGUCAUUAAUAUGUAUAGAACAGCCACAGACAAACAGUGAAAUCAGCAUGCAAGUUGGGUGGAACUUAUCCCCUGUGCAUCCAGUGCCAAAAAUAAAGAAUGCCUGCUUUGUAAAAAUGAGUAUUAGAGAGGUUUAUAUCUGAUUUUUUGGUAUCAGAACUGAAAAAAUCAGAACAGUACUGAGUUUUUGGUUUGGAGAUACUGUUUUGAAGGAUGACAGUCCAGGUGGUGUUGCAGCCAAAGUGACUGCUUUCAUUUGCUCUCACAUGCUGAAUUUCUAAGUAUAAUUCUUUUGCCUUAAGUUGGAAAAAUGAUACCAGCUUUGUUCAUAUCAGUCAACCAAAUUCUUCUUACCGGCAACACAGAAAAUUAUAUGAAUAAUGGUAAGUUGCACACUUAAAAAUCUAACCAUGUGUCCUGCUGCAUGACAAGAUGAUUUGGUCUGGGCUGGUCACCCUUUGCCAGUACUUCUAGUUCCUAGCCUCCUUCAUGGCAUCAGAAUACAGACUUCCACUGGCAGUAAAAGGAUUAGAAUCUUUAAAAUUGUGAAGUUUGAAAACAUACUGGAGUGUAACACAAUGCAAAUAAACAUUGACAUUUUAUUUAUAACUUUUAUUUUAAAGUGGCAUAAAAUAGGCAUUAUUGCAAAACGAGUUUAGUUUAAUGAGUACUAAGACUGAAAAUUCUUUUUGGUAUCCUAAGAUGUCUGAAAAUAAAAGCACAUGUGGUGGUGCAUCUCAUCAUCUCCCCUGGGCCACUCUACAAUCAGGAAUCCCCAUUAGGCCUUAGCGUCUGUGUAAUGAGUUGGGUGGCUAAGCAUCCCUUGACAGUACCAGCAACUCUCGCACAGCUGAGGUGGGAAACUGCACUGGCUGUACCAGAAACAUUCCUUAGAUGAACCAAACCAACACCUGACAGCUUUGGGACAUUCCUUAUCUGAACCAUAACAAGUCUGGGAACAGUAUCUGAAUCCAAGUGGUAUGGUACUACCGUUGUUACUGAAAAAUCAGUUGAAGAAACUUUCUAAGACUUACUCUGAAGUUUAUGAAGCAGGUAUUCUUUAUUACAGUGCUGGGGAGUGGGGGAUAUCUCUUCUUAACAAGCCCACCUUAUCCUUGAAUACAUGUUCCUUAUAUUCUGUAUAAUCAUACAUAUGCAUUUCCCCCCCCCAAAUCCAUACAUAUUCAAUUAUUUCCUGGAAUUCAUUUACAUUAGUCCCUUCCUCUUUUGCACAUGUGUAGCUUUCAUCUGAAUUGAGUCGAAGUGCUGCUUUUGUGACCACCAACCCAAAUCCAUUUCUAGAUACUUCUUGACCUGGUCAUCUCAGUCUUCUCACAGUGUUUUUUUGGCAAAACCUGGUAGGUUUUCAUAAGAUUCAAUCAGUUCUUUCCUUUCAUCCUAGAUGUUCCUUUCAAGUUAGAUCAUAAAUCUUGUCCAUACAAUAUCAGGUCUUCUUGAUCACAAUCUAAUAAUUAUACUGAUACAAGGACUUCUUGGUCUCAAUCUAAUAAUUAUACUAAGGCUUUAUAUAUACUAGGGUUAUACAUUAAACUGCGUAACACUGGUAUCACCAUCACUGGAAUUUUGAAAAAUUUCACUAAUUAUCAACCUGGAUUGGGGCAGUAUGGAAAAUUACUGAUGACUAAAGCCAAUCAUCUCUAACCCAAUAAAGAAGCAUUCUAAGUGAGACACUUUGAACUCUUCUGACUGCAGCAGACUGUAAACAGCAUCUCCCUCUGAGUAGGAUGCCUCUCAGAGCUCGUGAACUCAUAAGCCUGCAAUACUGGGGGACUGCUGCUGAAAGCUGAUCACAUCUCAGAUUCAUAAUUUACUAUUGUGAUUGUAGUAAAUCUUGUUUGACUCACUUUUCAAAUAAUAAAUUGGCAAUGAUUAAGUGCUGCUAGAAUCCUGUGAUCAACCUUGAACUCUGAACAAACCUUAGAUGUCGUUUAGAUAGAACCCGUUGACCAAGUCUGAGACUAAGGUUGGAUCUAGCCUCACCUAAGCUCUAUUAAGAAUUUAAAAAGCAAGAGGGUCCACUCAACCUCAUCGCUCAAUGGGGGGUGGUGUGUGGGGGGUGGGGUGUGUGUCUACCUUACCGUUUUACAUCUUUAGGCUUUGUGUAAAUCAUCCCAGCUUAAUUUUAAAUUUUAUUCCUCUGCAUGAUUUAACUAUGUAGUAAUAGAGUGAACCUCGCCACCACUUUGUGAAGUCGCACUCCCACAAAUUCCUAUAAAAAGUAUUUUGCUCAUACCUUUGAUAGUGAUUCUUUAAGCAACUUCAUCUAAACCACUCAUUCGUGACAGCACAUCAUGGUUAUUGCUAUAAUAGAAUAAUUAUAAUCUACAAUGAAAAAAACCCCAUAUAUCACUUAACUGGAGAGUCAGUCCCAUUAUUCAAAUCAGUAAGUGUAUUUUCAUAGCUUUUUAAAUUAAAAAGCAGCAGGAAAUAAGUUGUUUGGGGGUUUUAUUUCUUUGGAGACUUUUCAGCAUGAUCUCUGACCCUUGUAUGCAUCAGCUCCAACCUCAUCAGCCAUUUCUCAUUACAGUUAGCAAAUGAGACAAUUUUUCAUUAUUUUUUCACAGGACUCAGUAUUAAGUCAGCUAACAAGAUGUUAGUAUCUAUUUCAAUAUUUAUUAGUAAAACUCAUUUUCUCAGUAGAGGAGCCAUGGCUUUGAACUGAAGUACUUCUGACAGAAAUAUUCUAGCAAAAAUACCUUCUCCAUAUUCAAAACCAGUUGUUGAUUAUUCUAUUAUGAGUGGAAGUUGUUGCAGAAAAAAAUCAAUCAAAUAUGCUGAAACAUUAUGAUGUUAGGAGCCUUGGCACAAUACUUUCAAAUCAUGUAUUUUGCCAGUGCAUACUUAUAAUUCAGCGGAAAGCUUUUCCCCCUUUUUGUUGGUUUGGGUUUUUCCUCCAAAGUUUCCUUCACAAAUCAUCGACAUUAGCAAUUGAAUGUGGAUUUCGCUGCAGAGCAUCUGGUUCAUCUGCUGCUGGUUUCUUAUUAAGACAGAGUCCUUGAGAAGUUUGUCCAAAUCAAUAAUUUCAUAGGUCUGACAAACAAAAGUGAAUAUUCUUUACAGUUUUCUCAUUAAUUUGGACAAUGUUGAAACAGAAAGAGUUCAGCAAUUUGCUACAUCCAACCAUACCUCAUGAAGUGCAUGCAGUGCAGAACCACAUUCCCCUUUGUGUUAUGCAGCUGUAAAAAUAGAUGGUGGGUUUCCUGAUGCUCAAAAGCUCAGGCCAUGCAGAAAAGCUAUGGCAUUUCAGCAGUGUGACCUUUCAUGGGGAACUGUUCUCAGCUGUCUUGGGAACCUUGUCAGCCCAGUCAUGAUACUUGUUCUGUCGCACCUUAUUACACCUCUAGAACUUUUAGUCAGGUAUUCGUAUAAAUGUGAGUGGCUGAAAAUGUCCUCACUCAGCCAUUACAAGCUACAUGUUCAGUGAAUCCUUCACAGCUCAGUAACAUUUAUCCAUAGCUACUUAAAAGAUUAUUCCCUUAAGUGGGAUAAUUGCAACCUACUUUUGAAAUACAUAAAACUCUGUGCAGAGUAUUUCUAAUGUAGUCUAAAACAUGUAGGUUGUAAUGCUUAUUUCCUACUUUAUCUUCCUUUAGGCUGAACAGCUGCUUCUUUUUCCACAUGUAACUCUUAUCCUUAAUACAAAGCAGUGUUUCAGAUCUCGCAGUACAGAAAUACAAGUCAUGUUCUCGCAGACAGUACCAGGAAAAGCAAACACAGGAAGGCAGAGAGCUGGAAACUGGGGAGUGUGAUGGGGCGGGGCUGGACUGCAAGAAGGGGUGAUGCUGUGCUU